UACGUAUGGUGCAAGCGUUAUCCGGAUUUACUGGGUGUAAAGGGAGCGUAGACGGCUGUGUAAGUCUGAAGUGAAAGCCCGGGGCUCAACCGCGGGACUGCUUUGGAAACUAUGCAGCUAGAGUGUCGGAGAGGUAAGUGGAAUUCCCAGUGUAGCGGUGAAAUGCGUAGAUAUUGGGAGGAACACCAGUGGCGAAGGCGGCUUACUGGACGAUGACUGACGUUGAGGCUCGAAAGCGUGGGGAGCAAACAGG
rnacentral:rRNA from 1 species